rnacentral:lncRNA from 1 species
AUCUCAUUUCCUCCAAUAUUUUCCCCUGGCUUCAAUAUUAUCACAUCGUUUCUUUCCCAUUCUUUCAGCCUAACCUUCCACAACCCUCAAUAAUCCAUCACUUCCAUGAUCGUGACCUAACCUUCCACAACAUUUAUGGACUGAGGCAACAUAUUCCAGAAACGCUAAGUAAUACAUCAAUUUGAUUCUUCUUUGGUUUUCUAUAUUCUUCUUUUUCAUUUAGGCUUUUCAUUUUCUAUUUUUCCUCUUUUAUUCCUUAAUCUUCCUCUCUUCCUCUUACAUUCUCUUCUUUUUCCAUUUUAUUCUUCAUCGUUUCAUCUUUC